rnacentral:rRNA from 1 species
CUAGCUUGCUAGGUGGAUUAGUGGCGCACGGGUGAGUAACGCAUAGAUGACAUGCCCUUUAGUUUGGGAUAGCCACUAGAAAUGGUGAUUAAUACCAAAUACCACCCUACGGGGGAAAGAUUUAUCGCUAAAGGAUUGGUCUAUGUCCUAUCAGCUUGUUGGCGGGGUAAGAGCCCACCAAGGCAAUGACGGGUAUCCGGCCUGAGAGGGUGAACGGACACACUGGAACUGAGACACGGUCCAGACUCCUACGGGAGGCAGCAGUAGGGAAUAUUGCUCAAUGGGCGCAAGCCUGAAGCAGCAACGCCGCGUGGAGGAUGAAGGUUUUAGGAUUGUAAACUCCUUUUGUGAGAGAAGAUAAUGACGGUAUCUCACGAAUAAGCAC